GAUGAACGCUGGCGGCGUGCCUAAUACAUGCAAGUCGAGCGAACGGACGAGAAGCUUGCUUCUCUGAUGUUAGCGGCGGACGGGUGAGUAACACGUGGAUAACCUACCUAUAAGACUGGGAUAACUUCGGGAAACCGGAGCUAAUACCGGAUAAUAUUUUGAACCGCAUGGUUCAAAAGUGAAAGACGGUCUUGCUGUCACUUAUAGAUGGAUCCGCGCUGCAUUAGCUAGUUGGUAAGGUAAAGGCUUACCAAGGCAACGAUGCAUAGCCGACCUGAGAGGGUGAUCGGCAACACUGGAACUGAGACACGGUCCAGACUCCUACGGGAGGCAGCAGUAGGGAAUCUUCCGCAAUGGGCGAAAGCCUGACGGAGCAACGCCGCGUGAGUGAUGAAGGUCUUCGGAUCGUAAAACUCUGUUAUUAGGGAAGAACAUAUGUGUAAGUAACUGUGCACAUCUUGACGGUACCUAAUCAGAAAGCCACGGCUAACUACGUG
rnacentral:rRNA from 1 species